GAUGAUGAAAAUUUCCCUUGAAGCAGCAGAGGCUCUGUUCAGUUAAAGACAUGGAGAAGGACACCACAUCCUGCCUCGGUCAGUUCUCCCUUAGGUGUGUGUGCAUGGAUCUUCAGUGGCUCUUCCCCUACACCUAAGUUUCCUGGACUUGAAGAUCAGCUGGUGUGCUCCAGACUAGAACUGGAGAAAGCAACAUAAAAAUAUUAUUUAAGACUACAGCAUUUGAGAAAAGCGUGAAUUCAAACUCAGGCUAAGAUGGAAGUCUAGACACGGCCAUGUGACCUCAUUGCUCACUCUGAGUAGAAUUGAAGACAGACUCGCGUCCCUGGGAACAAACCUCUUAGAAACUGCACACUGAAGGUCCCCUUUUCUAGCUUUCUAUGUGGCCACGUUCAGGCUUCUCUCAUUUAUUUGAGAUUGAAGCAAAGUGGUUGCUAAGUGGUUAGCUGCCAUAACUGUCUUUUUUUGAGGCUAGAGUGUAGAUAAUAGAAUUGCUUUUAUGGAAUCUCCACUGUCUUGAAUUUUCAAAAGUAAUUGCUUAUGGUUCGUUAAAUUCCUUAGUUAGGCCCCUAGCCCUUAGGCUGAAUAUCACUGGGAUGCGUUUUUGAAAUUUUUCUAAGUAGUCUCUCUCCCUAUCUUAAUAACUAUCUAUUUCUAAUCUUACUAGUAAGAGUUCUAAAUCUGCUUUCAGAUUGCUUGUAUUUUUGUUAUGUUCUUUCUCUGCAGGCAACAAUUUUCCUAAUUAAUUCUGACUACAGAAUGGCUGGGUUCCUCCAUUGUAUUUUUAAAUGUAAUAAGCAUAAGAAUAAAGAACAGAGCAGAGGAUACGAGAGCUUGAAUUUAAUCUCAAUUUUUUAAUUUUGUUUAUAGUUAAGCCACUGCCAAGAUGUUAUAGAGACACUUUGAUUAAAAUCAAAUAAAACAUUACUGAAAGCAGGAAGACUGGGUACUAAAAUCAAACUAUUUAUCAUGUCAUAAUCUUUUUAAUUCCAGUUACCUGCUAUAUAAACCUAGGUUAAAAAUAGUUUCUUUGCAAUAUGAUCUAACACCAGAGGAAAUGGGCUAAUAUUAUACAAGUCAUUUUACACUUUGUACAUUGUUUACAUAAUAUGAUCAAGACUAUUUCCAAUUACUUUGAUGAGGGCUGAAUUUAUGGCCUAUAAAGUGGAAACUUCUGUCACUGAAAUAAUUCCUCAGCUCAUCCUUCAACCCUGGUUUAUUUUCUUUCUCAAGUUUUAGUUGUUGGUAUUUAUUACCCUAGAUUUGCCAAGAUCUUGGAUACUGCUGGAGAGAGUGUUUUUGCAAAUCUAUUCUUGUGAGUUCAUCACCUUCAUCCUGACAUAUUGUGUGGGUUGUUUGUAACCUCAGGCCUCUGAAAAACAGUAUUUCUUGAAUUUUAGUGGAAGAUUUAUGAUAAACAUUUCUGUAUUUACUGAGUGUUUGUAAAGCAACAAAUUAUGUUCAGAUAAUGAGUGUUUAGUGCUGAAGUUCAGCACAUCUCACAGCUGGACAUUAGCUAAUGAAUACAAGCUGGUUUAAAUGCAAUAGCUGUUUAUCCUCUCAAGAAAAAACAAAUUUUGUCUCAGAAAGCCUAGGCAAAGCUUUUAACCAGAUGAUUUUACAGACAUAUUGUCAUUGCUCAGAUUAGGAAUAUUUAUCCACUGCCUGUCCAUGCUGUGGGUGGUACCAAUGGUGACUCAGUGAAGGACCAGCCUUUGUGGCUGGUUUGUUCCAAGGUCCUGACACAGUGCUUUAAGGCUACACUCUGCAAUGAAUAAAAUCAAAUCAUUAAAAUCAUG